UCCGUAGGUGAACCUGCGGAAGGAUCAUUAAAUUCAGUAGUUUACUACUGUUUUGAGGGAAGCGGAAACUCGCCCGGCUGCUUCGGUAUGCCUGGCUGAGGAGUACGCCCCCUCUUUACACCCUUGUCUUUUUGCGUACUCAUGUUUCCUCGGCGGGCUUGCCCGCCGGUUGGACAAAUAAUAACCUUUUUAAUCUUCAAUCAGCGUCUGAAUAAUUAUAAUAAUUACAACUUUCAACAACGGAUCUCUUGGUUCUGGCAUCGAUGAAGAACGCAGCGAAAUGCGAUAAGUAGUGUGAAUUGCAGAAUUCAGUGAAUCAUCGAAUCUUUGAACGCACAUUGCGCCCCUUGGUAUUCCAUGGGGCAUGCCUGUUCGAGCGUCAUUUGUACUCUCAAGCUCUGCUUGGUGUUGGGUGUUUGUCUUUGCUUUGUGCUCAGACUCGCCUUAAAUGUAUUGGCAGCCGAUAUAUUGGUUUGAAGCGCAGCACAAUUUGCGAUUUAGGCCUUUAGUAUUAGCAUCCAUCAAGUAUAAUUAACACUUUUGACCUCGGAUCAGGUAGGGAUACCCGCUGAACUUAAGCAUAUCAAUAAGGCGGGAGGGGGAAGGUCGGACUGGCCAAGGGCACACAGGGGGGGGAUA
rnacentral:rRNA from 1 species